rnacentral:lncRNA from 1 species
AUCACAAGAUUUUGAUUAUGUUAUAAGUACUAAUAUUAGUCAGAAUAAGUAGGUUUAUUUUUGUAUGUAUAUGUAUUAUUUUUGUUAAAACUGGGAUUAUAAAUAUAUAUAUGUAAAUGUGUAACUGUAUGGGGGUGUAUAAUAAUAACCGUGUAUCAUUAUGAAUAUUAUUUUUUGCAACAUCAUUAUUUUUUUUUUUAUUUAUUUUAUAUUUUAUAUUAAUAUAUAGCUAUAAAAUUCCCGAUGUUGGAUAUUUAUAUAAGAUUGACGAAAUGGGCACUGGAAGAACGGAUGACGUCCAUACUCCUAUUAAUAUGGUUUUUGGUGAAAGAGAUAUCGAUGCCGGUGAAGUAGAAAAAAUUAAAAAAGUUCUGAACACAUUCGACCAAGGAAAUGGACUAGGUAUAUGUACAUUAAUGGGAGCAAAAAGAGGGCACUUUGCCUUUAAGUAUAAUGGCUAUCUUAGUCAUUUUCACGGAAUAAAAAGCUAUUUAAAGUAUAGUACUAUCUUUUUUAUUUUUUUUUUUUAUUUUUUUUGUUAUAU